CAAUCCGAGAAUUUCACCUCUGUCGUCUGAAUACUAAUGCCCCCGGCUGUCCCUGUUAAUCAUUAUCUCGAUUUCCAAAAACCAACAAAACAGAAACGAGAUCCUAUUCCAUUAUUCCAUGCACGAAUAUUCAAGCGUGUAAAGCCUGCUUUGAGCACUCUAAUUUUUUCAAAGUAAACCUGACGGCGCCCGGCGCGGACACUCGGUGAAGAGCACCCGGGGGCCUCCGCCAAACACAUCACGGGCCAAUGGGGCAGUAGACGCUGAACAGCGAACCGCCCCCGGCCCGCCGAGAUCCAACUACGAGCUUUUUAACCGCAACAACUUUAAUAUACACUAUUGGAGCUGGAAUUACCGC
rnacentral:misc_RNA from 1 species